GUGGCAUUUCAAGUGAGACCUGGACGAUGCGAAGCAGCCAGCUCUGACAAUGCUGAGGUCAGAACAUUCUGGACAGAGAGCACAGCGAGUCCGAAGAGCCUGAGGCCAGAAAACCCAGAAAACAGUGUUGCUCAAGUCACUGGCGAGAGGGAGGUAGGCUGGAGCAUCUUGUCGGCUCAGGAAGGAGUUUGGAAGACGUGAGUGCGCUGGGUCCUGAGCAGGGGAGCAAAACCAUCAGAUGUACUGCUUUCAAAAGAUCACUCUGGGGCUGAGGGUCAGGGGGGGAUGAGAGCUUCGAGACCCACCGACGGCUCUGGGCAACUAGGCAGUAGGUGGCAGUGGUUUGGGCCAGCGGGUGACAGUGGCAAUGGAGAAAUCCAAAAAACCUUCUUUGGAGACAAAGCAGAUGGGACUUUCUGGUGGCUCUGAUUUGGACAGUGAACAAUUUGGUGCCUAUAAGCCUGUUCUUGAGAGGGGCGUGGCCGUGGGUGAGGGGCGUUAGGGGUUCUGGUUUUCCAGGUGAAGCUGGGGCUAUUCACGAGCCUGCUGUGAGUCUUCAUGGAAGGAAGACAAGGAAGCAGCUUGUAGAAGAAACAGAGACCUCCAGAGGCCUGGCAGCAGAGCCACCGGACACCUGGCUUCCCUGUGGAGAGCACGAUCGGUCAGGUGUGCGGCUCUGGCGAGUCCUUCUCAAGGCCCAGACCGGACAGCUGUUCCCAGCCUUCUUCAGGCCCAAGCCCUCUAGGAAUCUGAUGAGACGUGCCUGUUCCAUAGGGAAGCGCACACCUACAGAUCUUCUCUGCAUCCGUUUGGGGGUCUUAGAACCCCUGAAACCCAUCCAUGGACUCCCAGCCAAUGGGCCCCCAGGUCGGUUAGCUGAACUAGGAGGGCCUACAAUGGACUCACCUAGGGGAAAGGUGUUAAGAGAAUUCACGUUGACCAGAGGCCUGGAACGCAUGCGUGAUGGACACAUGUCAUCACUGACUGCCCAGCAUUUGACCUACCUUCCAAGGAUGAGAUACUUUCUACUUUCAAGGCGUCGGGGAUUUGAUAUGAUAUCUUGCAGUUUGGAAAUCUAUGGACAAAUGGGUAAGUACAUAAAACAUUACAAUAAUAGACAGUGUUCUUGAGCAUUGAAUACUGUUCAGCCAUGAAAAUGGAAAAGAAAUCACAGACUCAAUGCUGGCUUAAUCUUUAAAAAAAAAAAAAAAAGGGCUCUUGUAUUUAUUUAUUUAUUUUUAAAUGUUAGGUUGAUUUAUAAGAGCAGCUCCAGGCAGUUAACACAGUUUGUGUACAAUGAGGAGCUAUCUAACUCUGAACACACCGAAUGCGGCAACCAGAAGUCUGGCAAUUAAAAGUCGUCGCAGUUAAGAGAAAACCACAGCCCACCUGCCGCAGCCAACACAAAAACAGGCAGAAACAGCAGUGAAAAUAUAGGGACCAACGAUGGGGGUUUUAGCAUAAAAGGAAAAAAAAAAAAACCAACUUCUCAGGAAUUUUAGCAAAGGAAGGGAGUACUUCUCGCUCAAAGAGAAUAGACUCCAGGAUACAAAAUUACAAGUGUGUGGCCUCUCUUCAAGACCCACUUCCCCCAAGAGCAGAGAGGAAGGAGACGGCUGGAGCAAACAAGCCAUUCUGGAAAACAAAGACUUAGAAACCCUACAAAUAUGAUUAAAAUCUAAACUUCUGUUUUGCUUUAAAAACAUUUUUUUGAAUAUAUCAAAAGACCUGCCUUAGGGACAUACUGGUGCCACCGGAAAAUAACCCCAAUACCCCCUCGUCAGUAACAUGCUCAAGUGACCAGCCAACUCAGAUUUCCAAACCCCUGUGUAUAUAAGUACAUGUGUAUCUUUUUAAACCAAAGCCCCAGGGAUCAGGGGACAGCUCUUGCUGUCACCUGUUAACCAGCCAGUGUUGCCCCCCUCCCCCCCAAGAAGGGUGGGCUGAGCACAGAAAAGCCCUGAAGCGGUCGUGAGGGAAGAACAGCCCCAAAUAGCUAACUUUUCAUGCACCCCACCGCCACCCCACUUGGAAGGACAUCCUUUUUUAUUUUUUUUAUGGCCACACCCAUGGCAUAUGGAAGUUCCCCGGGCUGGGACUGAAUCCCAAGCCACAGUUGCAGCAACUCUAGAUCCUUUAACCCCCCUGCACCUGGGUGGGGAUUGAACCUGCACCUCCAUAGCGGUGCAAGCCGCUGCAGUGAGAUUCUUCACCCACUGCGCCACAGUGGGAACUCCAGAAGGUCCUUCUUUCUGCUCAGACUACCUUCUCAGAUUUGGCUACCAGGGACCAGAAUGGUUUUUUCUCUCUUGGGGUAAAAAAAAAAAACCAAAAAAAAAAAAAACCCACAUUUAUCUGCAUACCCAUAUAUAUAAUUUUUUUGUUUUUACAUUUAAAUAUAAAAAUAUUACUCUUCUUUGUGUUAUAAAUGGAGGACCAAACAGAACUUGUUCUUUUAACGUAGGGUUAGCCAUCCAUUGCCACUGAACUUAUCAGGGCAUUUAGCCCCAGGCAAGGGAAGUACCACCCCAAAUCUAGGGCAUUUUCCUGCCUCAUUUCCCACCCUUCCUUCUCCCCUAAUUCUCACCCUUAAUAGAAAGUUGGUUCUAACCCUCUAAGCAAUGAAAUUUCCACCAACCAAGAAGGGGACUUCUAAUCCAACCAGAGUCAGGUCCUCUGACCCCCCACUCAACUACCACUCAGAGAAAGUCUGCCCCUUCCCUGCACAAAAACUAUGUUCUCUGUCUGGAUAGCUGUGUCUACUGGACAAACACACCCGAUGAAAUGGAAGCAGGAAAACCCUUUUAUUUUGAAAUAUUUUUGGAGGUUCAGAAAAUUUGUAAAUAUACUACAAAAAAUGUCCAUAUAUACUUCACCCAGCUCCGUCUAUUCGUCUCAUCUUACCCCUGGCAUAUUUAUCAAAUCUAAGAAAUUGGAUUUCCACAGUAGCUGGGCAGGUUAAGGAUCCAGUGUUGUCACUGCAGUGGCUUUGGUUACCCUCGUGGCACAGAUUCAAUCCCUAGCCUGGGACUUCUGAACAGGUGCACCCAAAAGAAACCCAAAACAAAAACAAAAAUAAAGACAAAAAAAAAAAAACCCUAAGAAAUUAU
rnacentral:lncRNA from 1 species